rnacentral:rRNA from 1 species
UGUAAGCGUAUACCAAAGUUGUUGCAGUUAAAACGCUCGUAGUCGGAAUUUGGCAGUUCCGGAUGUGUGCACGUCGUGUGCGCACUUCGCGGGGAUUGCUUUUGUGGUCUUGCGUAGGAUGAGGCACUUUUAUUAGUGAACGUCCUCACGCAACCACUUUUUACUGUGAGAAAAUCAGAGUGCUCAAAGCAGACAUUUGCCGUGAAUGUAUUAGCAUGGAAUAAUAGAAUAGGACUUGGUUCUAUUUUGUUGGUUUGUUGGGACUGAGUAAUGAUUAAGAGGGACAGUUGGGGGCAUUUGUAUUUCGGUGCUAGAGGUGAAAUUCUUAGAUUACCGAAAGACAAACUGCUGCGAAAGCGUCUGCCAAGGAUGUUUUCAUUGA